AGUGAACGCUGGCGGUAGGCCUAACACAUGCAAGUCGAACGGCAGCACAGUAAGAGCUUGCUCUUACGGGUGGCGAGUGGCGGACGGGUGAGGAAUACAUCGGAAUCUACUUUUUCGUGGGGGAUAACGUAGGGAAACUUACGCUAAUACCGCAUACGACCUACGGGUGAAAGCAGGGGAUCUUCGGACCUUGCGCGAUUGAAUAAGCCGAAGUCGGAUUAGCUAGUUGGCGGGGUAAAGGCCCACCAAGGCGACGAUCCGUAGCUGGUCUGAGAGGAUGAUCAGCCACACUGGAACUGAGACACGGUCCAGACUCCUGCGGGAGGCAGCAGUGGGGAAUAUUGGACAAUGGGCGCAAGCCUGAUCCAGCCAUACCGCGUGGGUGAAGAAGGCCUUCGGGUUGUAAAGCCCUUUUGUUGGGAAAGAAAAGCAGCAGGUUAAUACCCCGCUGUUCUGACGGUACCCAAAGAAUAAGCACCGGCUAACUUCGUG
rnacentral:rRNA from 1 species